GAUGAACGCUAGCGGCAGGCCUAAUACAUGCAAGUCGGACGGGAUCCAUUGAUAGCUUGCUAUCAAUGGUGAGAGUGGCGCACGGGUGCGUAACGCGUGAGCAACCUGCCUCCAUCAGGGGGAUAGCCUCUCGAAAGAGAGAUUAACACCGCAUAAUAUCAACAGUUCGCAUGUUCAGUUGAUUAAAUAUUUAUAGGAUGGAGAUGGGCUCGCGUGACAUUAGCUAGUUGGUAGGGUGACGGCUUACCAAGGCGACGAUGUCUAGGGGCUCUGAGAGGAGAAUCCCCGACAGUGGUACUGGGACACGGACGAUAGUCCUACGGGAGGCACUAGUAAGGGAUAUUGGUGAAGGGGCGAAUGCCUGAACCGCCCAUGCCGCGUGCAGCAUGACUGCCCUAUGGGUUAUAAACUGCUUUUGGCAAGGAAUAAACCUAAAUACGGGAGUUUAACUGAAGGUAAUGGAAAAAUAAGGAUCGGCUAACUCCGUG
rnacentral:rRNA from 1 species